AUGACUCUGAUCUGCGUCCUCAUCUGGACUCUCCUCUGCUGCUGCUUCACAGAGUCCAGCGGUCAGGUCACAGUGACUCAGCCUGGAUCAGUGACUUCUGCUCUGGGAGGCUCCGUCACCAUCAGCUGUAAAACCAGUCAGAAUAUUCGUCACCCCAACGAUUUAUUGUGGUACCAACAGAGAGAUGGAGGAACUCCUAAACUGCUCAUUUAUGCUACUACCAACAGACAAUCAGGAACACCAAGUCGUUUCGCAGGCAGUGGAUCAAACUCUGACUUCACUCUGACCAUCAGGGGAGUUCAGAUUAAAGAUGCAGCAGUUUAUUACUGUAAGAGUAUUCAUCACAUAAACAGUCAGGUUGUGUUCACACAGUGAAAAA